GGGUCAGUAGGUUGGUCGUGCCACCGGUACGUACUGGUCUCACUGAUUCCUCCUUCCUGAAGAACCGUAGUGCCAUUAAUUUGGUGUUGCGGGGAAACAGGACUGUUACUUUGAAAAAAUUAGAGUGUUUAAAGCAAGCUAACGCUUGGAUACAUUAGCAUGGAAUAAUGAAAUAGGACGAUCGAUCCUAUUUUGUUGGUUUCUAGGAUUGACGUA
rnacentral:rRNA from 1 species